rnacentral:rRNA from 1 species
GAGUUUGAUCCUGGCUCAGAUUGAACGCUGGCGGCAGGCCUAACACAUGCAAGUCGAACGGUAACAGGAAACAGCUUGCUGUUUCGCUGACGAGUGGCGGACGGGUGAGUAAUGUCUGGGAAACUGCCUGAUGGAGGGGGAUAACUACUGGAAACGGUAGCUAAUACCGCAUAACGUCGCAAGACCAAAGAGGGGGACCUUCGGGCCUCUUGCCAUCGGAUGUGCCCAGAUGGGAUUAGCUAGUAGGUGGGGUAACGGCUCACCUAGGCGACGAUCCCUAGCUGGUCUGAGAGGAUGACCAGCCACACUGGAACUGAGACACGGUCCAGACUCCUACGGGAGGCAGCAGUGGGAAUAUUGCACAAUGGGCGCAAGCCUGAUGCAGCCAUGCCGCGUGUAUGAAGAAGGCCUCGGUUGUAAGUAC